UACGGAGGGAGCUAGCGUUGUUCGGAAUUACUGGGCGUAAAGCGCACGUAGGCGGCUUUGUAAGUUAGAGGUGAAAGCCCGGGGCUCAACUCCGGAACUGCCUUUAAGACUGCAUCGCUUGAAUCGAGGAGAGGUGAGUGGAAUUCCGAGUGUAGAGGUGAAAUUCGUAGAUAUUCGGAAGAACACCAGUGGCGAAGGCGGCUCACUGGACUGGUAUUGACGCUGAGGUGCGAAAGCGUGGGGAGCAAGCAGG
rnacentral:rRNA from 1 species